rnacentral:rRNA from 1 species
UACAGAGGUCCCAAGCGUUGUUCGGAUUCACUGGGCGUAAAGGGUGCGUAGGCGGUCGGGUAAGUCUGAUGUGAAAUCUCACAGCUUAACUGUGAAACUGCAUUGGAUACUAUCCGGCUAGAGGAAUGGAGGGGAGACUGGAAUACUUGGUGUAGCAGUGAAAUGCGUAGAUAUCAGGAGGAAUACCGAUGGCGAAGGCAGGUCUCUGGGCUGACACUGACGCUCAUGCACGAAAGCGUGGGGAGCAAACAGG